GACGAACGCUGGCGGCGUGCUUAACACAUGCAAGUCGAACGAAGUGGCGAACGGGUGAGUAACGCGUAAUCAACCUGCACUUCAGAGGGGGACAACAGUUGGAAACGACUGCUAAUACCGCAUACUGAAGGAGGGGAUUGCGUCUGAUAAGGGGGGUGGGGGGGAAACGGCCGACCAAGGCGAUGAUCAGUAGCCGGUUUGAGAGGAUGAACGGCCACAUUGGGACUGAGACCCGGCCCAGACUCCUACGGGAGGCAGCAGUGGGGAAUCUGCGGAAAUGGAGGAAAGGCUGACGGAGCAACGCCGCGUGAGUGAGGACGGCCUUCGGGUUGUAAAGCUCUGUUAAUCGGGACGCGGUACCGGAAUAGAAAGCCACGGCUAACUACGUGCCAGCAGCCGCGGUAAUUC
rnacentral:rRNA from 1 species